rnacentral:rRNA from 1 species
UUGCGGCGUGCUUAACACAUGCAAGUCGAACGGAAAGGCCCUGCUUUUGUGGGGUGCUCGAGUGGCGAACGGGUGAGUAACACGUGAGUAACCUGCCCUUGACUUUGGGAUAACUUCAGGAAACUGGGGCUAAUACCGGAUAGGAGCUCCUGCUGCAUGGUGGGGGUUGGAAAGUUUCGGCGGUUGGGGAUGGACUCGCGGCUUAUCAGCUUGUUGGUGGGGUAGUGGCUUACCAAGGCUUUGACGGGUAGCCGGCCUGAGAGGGUGACCGGCCACAUUGGGACUGAGAUACGGCCCAGACUCCUACGGGAGGCAGCAGUGGGGAAUAUUGCACAAUGGGCGGAAGCCUGAUGCAGCAACGCCGCGUGCGGGAUGACGGCCUUCGGGUUGUAAACCGCUUUCGCCUGUGACGAAGCGUGAGUGACGGUAAUGGGUAAAGAAGCACCGGCUAACUACGUGCCAGCAGCCGCGGUGAUACGUAGGGUGCGAGCGUUGUCCGGAUUUAUUGGGCGUAAAGGGCUCGUAGGUGGUUGAUCGCGUCGGAAGUGUAAUCUUGGGGCUUAACCCUGAGCGUGCUUUCGAUACGGGUUGACUUGAGGAAGGUAGGGGAGAAUGGAAUUCCUGGUGGAGCGGUGGAAUGCGCAGAUAUCAGGAGGAACACCAGUGGCGAAGGCGGUUCUCUGGGCCUUUCCUGACGCUGAGGAGCGAAAGCGUGGGGAGCGAACAGGCUUAGAUACCCUGGUAGUCCACGCUGUAAACGGUGGGUACUAGGUGUGGGGUCCAUUCCACGGGUUCCGUGCCGUAGCUAACGCUUUAAGUACCCCGCCUGGGGAGUACGGCCGCAAGGCUAAAACUCAAAGGAAUUGACGGGGCCCCGCACAAGCGGCGGAGCAUGCGGAUUAAUUCGAUGCAACGCGUAGAACCUUACCAGGGUUUGACAUGGAUCGGGAGUGCUCAGAGAUGGGUGUGCCUCUUUUGGGGUCGGUUCACAGGUGGUGCAUGCCUGUCGUCAGCUCGUGUCGUGAGAUGUUGGGUUAAGUCCCGCAACGAGCGCAACCCUUGUUCACUGUUGCCAGCACGUUAUGGUGGGGACUCAGUGGAGACCGCCGGGGUCAACUCGGAGGAAGGUGGGGAUGACGUCAAGUCCUCAUGCCCCUUAUGUCCAGGGCUUCACGCAUGCUACAAUGGCUGGUACAGAGAGUGGCGAGCCUGUGAGGGUGAGCGAAUCUCGGAAAGCCGGUCUCAGUUCGGAUUGGGGUCUGCAACUCGACCUCAUGAAGUCGGAGUCGCUAGUAAUCGCAGAUCAGCAACGCUGCGGUGAAUACGUUCCCGGGGCUUGUACACACCGCCCGUCAAGUCAUGAAAGUUGGUAACACCCGAAGCCGGUGGCCUAACCGUUGUGGGGGAGCCGUCGAAGGUGGGACUGGUGAUUAG